UACAGAGGUCUCAAGCGUUGUUCGGAUUCAUUGGGCGUAAAGGGUGCGUAGGCGGCGCGGUAAGUCGGGUGUGAAAUCUCGGAGCUUAACUCCGAAACUGCAUUCGAUACUGCCGUGCUUGAGGACUGGAGAGGAGACUGGAAUUUACGGUGUAGCGGUGAAAUGCGUAGAUAUCGUAAGGAAGAACCAGUGGCGAAGGCGGGGUCUCUGGACAGUUCCUGACGCUGAGGCACGAAGGUCAGGGGAGCAAACGGG
rnacentral:rRNA from 1 species